AGUGAACGCUGGCGGUAGGCCUAACACAUGCAAGUCGACCGGCAGCACAGUAAGAGCUUGCUCUUACGGGUGGCGAGUGGCGGACGGGUGAGGAAUACAUCGGAAUCUACUUUUUCGUGGGUGAUAACGUAGGGAAACUUACGCUAAUACCGCAUACGACCUACGGGUGAAAGCAGGGGAUCUUCGGACCUUGCGCGACUGAAUGAGCCGAUGUCGGAUUAGCUAGUUGGCGAGGUAAAGGCCCACCAAGGCGACGAUCCGUAGCUGGUCUGAGAGGAUGAUCAGCCACACUGGAACUGAGACACGGUCCAGACUCCUACGGGAGGCAGCAGUGGGGAAUAUUGGACAAUGGGCGCAAGCCUGAUCCAGCCAUACCGCGUGGGUGAAGAAGGCCUUCGGGUUGUAAAGCCCUUUUGUUGGGAAAGAAAAGCAGCAGGUUAAUACCCCGCUGUUCUGACGGUACCCAAAGAAUAAGCACCGGCUAACUUCGUG
rnacentral:rRNA from 1 species